rnacentral:rRNA from 1 species
UACAACAUAGCGUUAAUGCACUGGAUCCCAUUAGAACUUCGUAGUUAUGCACACUCGGGAUAGAGUAGUACUGGGAUGGGUGACCUCCCAGGAAGUCCUAGUAUUUUAC